GACGAACGCUGGCGGCGUGCUUAACACAUGCAAGUCGAACGGUAAGGCCCUUCGGGGUACACGAGUGGCGAACGGGUGAGUAACACGUGGGUGAUCUGCCCUGCACUUCGGGAUAAGCCUGGGAAACUGGGUCUAAUACCGGAUAGGACCACUGCCUGCAUGGGUGGUGGUGGAAAGCUUUUGCGGUGUGGGAUGGGCCCGCGGCCUAUCAGCUUGUUGGUGGGGUGAUGGCCUACCAAGGCGACGACGGGUAGCCGGCCUGAGAGGGUGACCGGCCACACUGGGACUGAGAUACGGCCCAGACUCCUACGGGAGGCAGCAGUGGGGAAUAUUGCACAAUGGGCGCAAGCCUGAUGCAGCGACGCCGCGUGAGGGAUGACGGCCUUCGGGUUGUAAACCUCUUUCAGCACCGACGAAGCGCAAGUGACGGUAGGUGCAGAAGAAGGACCGGCCAACUACGUGCCAGCAGCCGCAGUAACAC
rnacentral:rRNA from 1 species